rnacentral:rRNA from 1 species
GACGAACCGUGCGAACGUUGUUCGGAAUCACUGGGCUUAAAGCGUGUGUAGGCGGGUCGUUAAGUACCUUGUGAAAUCCCACAGCUCAACUGUGGAACUGCUCGGUAUACUGGCGGUCUUGAGCAACCUAGGGGCGAGCGGAACAAAUGGUGGAGCGGUGAAAUGCGUAGAUAUCAUUUGGAACGCCAAUGGUGAAAACAGCUCGCUGGGGGUUUGCUGACGCUGAGACACGAAAGCCAGGGGAGCAAACGGG